AUACGGUUUAAAAAACUGCCUAAGACAGUAGGGGAGCUCGACUCAUAAAUAUCCUACCGAGGACAAGACGUAUCAUGUAAAAAGAAGCGUAUUGUACUUUCGUGUCUAGGUUUGGGCGCGUUUUUCUUUUGAAAAA
rfam:Streptococcus pneumoniae 2070335 gspj15.contig.8, whole genome shotgun sequence.